CAUGUAGGCGGAUUAAUAAGUUUGAAGUGAAAUCCUAUAGCUUAACUAUAGAACUGCUUUGAAAACUGUUAAUCUAGAAUGUGGGAGAGGUAGAUGGAAUUUCUGGUGUAGGGGUAAAAUCCGUAGAGAUCAGAAGGAAUACCGAUUGCGAAGGCGAUCUAUUGGAACAUUAUUGACGCUGAGAUGCGAAAGCGUGGGGAGCAAACA
rnacentral:rRNA from 1 species